AAUGACUGACAGCAUGGUUACAGACUCAGGAACGGACAUGACUACGAGCAAGAACACGGCACAUGAGACAACCACAGCAGCAGCUGGACAUUCUCUUCAAGUGUGCACCUGUGGCUGGGCGAAAAUAACAUCAUUCAGGGGAUUGAGGACCCACCAAGGAAAGAGAGGGUGCUUGAGAGAGCAGAGACAAGGGCCUCGCAUUGACCAGUACUUCCUACGAAGCAACCAGUCAAAUCAGUCGAUUGAAGCACAGCGACGGGAAAAAAACCAAAGUUCGCAGAGCAUCAGUACCAGUGUCCCUGAGGAGGAUAAUACAAGCACAGAAAUGCCGGUGGAGGAACCCACUCAACCACAGAGACCUCCCAAGGAGGAAAAGAUCAAAGGGCACAGACCGAGUGUGAAGUGGCCCAAAGCUGUUGAAAAGAGAGAGUGGGAAAUAACCAAUAACGACCUGACAAAAAUCCUGGAGCAACAAGUGGGCACAGCAGAGAAAAAGCUGGAAAGGAUGGUUGACAUCAUCUACCACUAUGGAGAAGAGCGCUUUGGAGUAAACGCUAGGAGAAGCAACAAAGCAAUAUCAGCACCAGCCAAAUCUAGGAGGCAGCAAGAGAUCGAAAUUCUGGUCAGAGAGAGAAGGCAGCUGAGAAAGCAGUGGAAGAAGGCCUCUGAUGCAGAGAGAGAGGGUCUCAUGCUACUCCAGGGGGACAUCAAGUGUCGGUUGGCAACCUUGCGAAGAGCAGAGAACCUGAGGAAACUUCGCAAAAAGAAGGAACACACAAGAACACGGUUCUACAAAAACCCCUUCAAGUUCGUUAAAGAUCUCUUCGCUAAGGAAAAAAGCGGAAUCCUGAAAAUUCCCAAGGAGGAACUGGAAGAACAUCUGGAAAAGGGCAACCAUGACCCAAAAAGGCACGAACAAAUAGUUAUCCCACAUGACAUCCCACCUAUUCAACCUCCCGAAUUCAAUCUGGAGACUGGCCCUCCAAAAUGGAAGGAGGUAGAGAGUACAGUACGGCGCGCAAGAUCAGCAUCAGCCCCUGGGCCGAAUGGAGUACCGUAUAAGCUCUACAAGAACGCACCAGAUGUGCUACGCUAUCUUUGGAGGCUCAUGAGGAUAGUGUGGCAGAAGGGAAUAAUACCUAAGGGGUGGCGAAGGGCUGGAGGGGUGCUAAUUCCCA
ensembl:lncRNA